rnacentral:lncRNA from 1 species
CAUGUAGAACAAUCUGGAGUUUUGACAUACUUUCACUCUUGAUGCCUCCCCUAUCCAUGAUAAUGCACAGUUUCACACCUAUGGUUGAUGUAGAAAACUACUUAGCAUUUGAACAUGCACAAAGUUUUUGCGUAACACAUGUAGUUUAUCUAUAUGAAAUUUUAAUUUACCUCUCUUAUCUCUGCUCGCUCUCAUCUUAUUAG